rnacentral:rRNA from 1 species
GAUGAACGCUGGCGGCGUGCUUAACACAUGCAAGUCGAACGGAAAUGCUCCUGCUUGCAGGGGUACUCGAGUGGCGAACGGGUGAGUAACACGUGGGUGAUCUGCCCUGCACUUCGGGAUAAGCCUGGGAAACUGGGUCUAAUACCGGAUAGGACGAUGGUUUGGAUGCCAUUGUGGAAAGUUUUUCGGUGUGGGAUGAGCUCGCGGCCUAUCAGCUUGUUGGUGGGGUAAUGGCCUACCAAGGCGUCGACGGGUAGCCGGCCUGAGAGGGUGUACGGCCACAGUGGGACUGAGAUACGGCCCAGACUCCUACGGGAGGCAGCAGUGGGGAAUAUUGCACAAUGGGCGCAAGCCUGAUGCAGCGACGCCGCGUGGGGGAUGACGGCCUUCGGGUUGUAAACUCCUUUCGCUAGGGACGAAGCGCAAGUGACGGUACCUGGAGAAGAAGCACCGGCUAACUACGUG